GCCCAUCUUUUACGAAAAGCUUUUUUUCAUAUUUUUACAAUUCUAAUUAUAUACUUUUGUUAGAUUAAAUACAAAAUGAAAAAUAUUUUAGAAUAAUCUACCAAAUGAGUCUAAUUAUUCACUAGGAUAAGAUAUUACAAAGUAAUUAAAUAAAUGAUAUUUCCAAGUGUGGUGCUCCAGCUGCGGAUACAAAACAAAAUAAUUUGAAGGGCU
rnacentral:lncRNA from 1 species